ensembl:snoRNA
UUCCUUUUGCGGCUCUUUCGUGGUGAUCAGGUUUUCACACUCAGGUGUGAGAUGUGCAUUCCUAAAACCUUGUUAGGACUUUGGCAUUUUGCCAUCUGCCA